UGGUUUCUCCCGCAGUAUUUUGCGUAGGCAAGUACGAAAAAUGUUAUAAGCAGCAUAGUCGAGAGGAUCCCGAGGAUUAGUGGAAGGCCUUGAUGGACUGGUAUGACGGUAGCUGAAUCCGAACCGGAAGUGAUUUGGGCUUUGACAUGGAAGAAGAGGGUAAGAAUUAUGAUGAGAAGUAAUCGAUUCAUAGAGAUAGCCACACUCUAUGCUGUCCAAGUUUCUGUAUAUAAUGACAAUUUGAAAGAACCA
rnacentral:lncRNA from 1 species